ACACCGGCCGUUGGACCUUCGAGCAGGCGGUGCGGUAUUUCAUGGAGGCGGGCGGACUCGAUCGCGAAGCGGCGGAAGGCGAAGCCGCCGGCGCCGCCUCCGAGCCAACGCAGAAGAUCUGGUACAUCACCGGUAAAUGGCAGAUCAUGAAUCUCCUCGGCCGCUACCGUGACAAGCAGGCUGAGAAGUUUCGCCUCGGCCAAUUCCACGAUGAAUUGAUCGCCAACGGCAGUCUCCCCAUCUCCGUGGUCGAAUGGAUCAUGCUCGACGACCGCACGGCGCUCGAUCAUGCGCUGAAGUAACAGGGCAUCCCAAAAAGCCUGUCACCCUGAGCGCAGCGAAGGAUCUCUGAUUGUUUCUGCGCGCCGGAUGCUCGGAAUGCUCAGAGAUGUUUCGCUGCGCUCAACAUGACACCGGUUGAAGAGGAGCUUUAGAGACUCUCGUGGACUUCCCAGGUGACACGAGUCGGCGUGACAGAGCGCGCCAAACCGUUCAUCAUUCCUUGAUGCUGCACGAUCGUCCGCCAUCUGGGGUUCUUCCAUGAUCGACGAACGCGCGUUCAUCGCCCAACUCGAAGCCGCCAACGCGGACGAGCUCUCUCAAAUCCUGCGCCGCCCGAACGUCGAAGAGGAGCGGCUCCUGGAGAUUUACUUCGGCCCGGAGCGGCUGCAACGCCUGCGCAGCCUCGCGCUCACCCCGAAGCACCGCGCCGUGGCGCGCGGCUACGUGGUGGUUUUGCACGGCAUCAUGGGCGGCGAGAUGACGGUGUUGCCGAUGAACGCCCCGAGCCAGUUCAUCUGGAUGCAUAUCCCACGCCUGAUUCGCGGCGCGGUCGGCUGGUUGCGCAUGACUCCGGACUUCAGUUCGCAGUUCGAUGUCCGCCCGACCGGCAUCAUCAAGAAAUACUACGCCGAACAGUUGCUCGGCCUGGCCGCCGAUGGCUGGAAUGUAAAACCGUUUUGGUACGACUGGCGCCAGGAUCUCGCCCGGAUCGCUGACGUUUUACGAAAGUUCAUCGACG
rnacentral:misc_RNA from 1 species